rnacentral:rRNA from 1 species
GACGAGCCUCACAAACGUUAUUCGGAAUUACUGGGCUUAAAGGGUGCGUAGGCGGCGCGGAAAGUUGGGUGUGAAAUCCCUCGGCUCAACCGAGGAACAGCGCCCAAAACUACCGUGCUCGAGGGAGAUAGAGGAAUGCGGAACUUAGGGUGGAGCGGUGAAAUGCGUUGAUAUCCUAGGGAACACCGGUGGCGAAAGCGGCAUUCUGGAUCUCUUCUGACGCUGAGGCACGAAAGCUAGGGUAGCGAACGGG